rnacentral:rRNA from 1 species
GGAAUAUUGCACAAUGGGGGAAACCCUGAUGCAGCGACGCCGCGUGAAGGAAGAAGGCUUUCGGGUUGUAAACUUCUUUUAAGAGGGAAGAGCAGAAGACGGUACCUCUUGAAUAAGCCACGGCUAACUACGUGCCAGCAGCCGCGGUAAUACGUAGGUGGCAAGCGUUGUCCGGAUUUACUGGGUGUAAAGGGCGUGUAGCCGGGCUGACAAGUCAGAUGUGAAAUUCCGGGGCUCAACCCCGGACCUGCAUUUGAAACUGUUGGUCUUGAGUAUCGGAGAGGCAGGCGGAAUUCCUAGUGUAGCGGUGAAAUGCGUAGAUAUUAGGAGGAACACCAGUGGCGAAGGCGGCCUGCUGGACGACAACUGACGGUGAGGCGCGAAAGCGUGGGGAGCAAACAG